CCUCUUGUUUCUCAUUGGUUUGUGAUCUGUCCCCGCCCCUUGUUCCUCCCCCAAAUUUAAGGUGCGCUCAUCCCUGUUUUGGGAGCUCUCCUGGAGCAGUGCCCAUUAAGCUGAAGGUUCCUGAGAGGAUUCAAUAAACCUUGGACUUUGCCCUUCAUGAGGGCCUCACUCCUGCUUCCUCCAUUGUUGCUGCCGUCUCUUCCAAUAAGCCACUCCCCUGAUUCCCAGGAUUCAGAGGGGUGUCCCCUGCAAGGUCGGCAGUGUCGAGUCAGCCCAGAAAGCAAGAAGUUGCAAGAUCGAAUUCCAGUGUCAGAUUUCCUCCUUUGCCUUCUACAUUCUGGAACAUAUUUUAGCUAAUGAAAAUGGACAUCCUCAUGACAGCAAAAGCUGAUAGGGACUCUUCAUCUGUGGACCCCUAAAGCUGGAAUAUAGUCAGUCACAUUCAAAGAUGAAGAAUCAAUAUCUUGCUAUUUUUGACACUGCUGCAAAGCCUUCAGUCUCCUUAAAACAACUGCAGACUACAUGCUACAACAGGACACCUUUAUCUUCAAUGUACCCAUUAUGACUACUCUCUUUAGAAAAGAAGAAAAACACAUGAAGGAG
rnacentral:lncRNA from 1 species